rnacentral:lncRNA from 1 species
AUUCAGGGCUUCAGACUGGCAUUGCGGACUUUGCCAGUCUAAUAACAACAGAAAAAGGACACUAGAGUAACACCGUGUGGAUACAAUCAGGCAAGAAGACCUUCUGCUCAUCAAGGCAUCUGUAUAUACAGAGCAAUCAAUUUUAGUUUAAUGAAAGACAAAGCUGCAUCUAGAAGAAAAUAAUACAGUGAGUAAAACUCAACAAUAGAAAUUUGUGUAUGAACUAACUUCAGAUAGUUAAUGAAUCCUAAACAACAGUCAAGAAGGUAGCCGCCAAAAAAUAGAAAAACGGAACCUUCCAUUGCCCGAUCAAUUCAGAUGUAUCACUUGCUGAGCAGGCAGAAGCGACACCUAAUGUUCGUUAUGAUUUAUAUCUAAUUUUUUCUGUGGUCUCAGUUGGAAAAAGUAAUACUUUUCAGUUAAACACUUGGACAAAAAGAUAUUGCAAAGUAGCCACUAGGAUGAAUAAAACAUUCGGUAAAUGAAAUAAAAGUUGUAUGUCCUAACACAUCAAUUCUUGUGUCACUUUUCUUGGUCACAUCAAUUCUUUUCAAAGAUUCAGCUUGCACGUCGAUUUAUUCCUUCUGUUGUAAUGUUUAAUAGAUAGAAUGAACUCUGUAAUAUCAUAUGAUAUGUCCCUUUCCACGUUGAUUUGUUCCUUCUAGGCCAGACCCUAACGAAAAAAAGCAGAGAAGAAUCUGGUUCAAUAAUGGUCAAAUUCAAAAGGACACAAUAACAUUACAAUCCGCCAUGACACGGUACAUUAACAACAGAAGCUCCAGUUGCAAACAUCUUCCUAAGCUUCUUUCAAGCAUCAAUCACCUUUACACGUAAAGGUUCAAGAUAAGACAUAUAAUCAAAAUCAUUGUACAAAAACAAAUGUUAUCCAAAACUUCAAGGAGGGUUCAAUUCGAUAUAAAAAAGAGGCUUAUUCUAGUGCUCUAAGCCAUUUCACUCAUAAAAAAUUCUUUUCAAAAAGCAAUUAAUUCUUGUGCCUUGAGAAUCAACGCAAAAUAAGUUAGGAAUGUGGACCUUCGUCUUGAGAUUAACAUCUCUUUAGAGCGUUAAUACGGAGAGUGAAAGUCUUUAGGUAGAAAUAUAAACAGAAAUGAUGUGUAAUGGAAUAACACAACAUUAUGGUGUAUAGGAACCCAUCUUCUUCCACUUAGCAUUUUUAUUUCAUCUUCCAUUACACUAGAUAAAUUUACAUGCUUUGGUCGAAGGUUAGCUUCAUUCGCUAGUGGAAAUGUUUUUAAAAUACACUUACCGAAGCAACAUAAUAAAGAGUAAUCUUCGCCACAGAAGGUCCCAAACAACCACGUUAACGAAAUUCAUUAUAUUAUAAAUAAUGAACAGGGGAUUGAAAUCUCGUGCGAUUGCAACUAGUUCAUAGACCUCUCCUGCUCGUCCGUCCUCCCUCCUCCAGCACAAAGGGAUCUGAUCUCCUGAUGAGGAAGAUGAGACGUUGACCUUGGCGCGUUCUCCAGGGGCUACCACAAGGUGCUCGAUGCAUCCAGUUCGUCCUCGUGCUCCAGUUCAUCGAUGCAUCCAGUUCGUCCGCCAAGUCGCGCAGAUGGGAGAGGAGGCAGGGGCCGGAUUGUACCAACUGCUGGGCCAACCCUAAUUAGAUAU